AUGCAGAGCUCGCUCGCCCGGCCUCCGCCCCCGCCCCCGCCCCCCUCGGCGCGGGGCUCCGCGGGCGCGAGGUUCCUCGCUCGGCCCAGGCAGGCGCUGCCGGCGGUGAGAUGCCACGGCGAGCCCGCGUCGUCGUCGUCGGCGGCGUCGGGAUGGGCCCCGCCGACGCCGUUCACGGGGAGGGACCCGGAGGCGAAGAAGCCGGCGUGGCUGCGGCAGCGGGCGGCGCAGGGGGACAAGUACGCCCGGCUCAGGGAGUCGCUCGGCGAGCUCAAGCUCAACACCGUCUGCGUCGAGGCCCAGUGCCCCAACAUCGGGGAGUGCUGGAACGGAGGCGGUGGCGCCGGCGGGGAAGGGGACGGCAUCGCCACCGCGACCAUCAUGCUCCUCGGCGACACCUGCACCCGGGGCUGUCGGUUCUGCGCCGUCAAGACCAGUAACAAGCCCCCGCCGCCUGACGCCCUCGAGCCUCUGAAAACGGCCAUCGCGAUUGCGAGUUGGGGAGUGGACUAUGUCGUGCUGACAAGCGUCGACAGAGACGACAUCCCGGAUGGUGGAAGUGGCCAUUUCGCCGAAACAGUCAGGGCUCUCAAGGAGUUGAAGCCUACGAUAUUGGUGGAGUGUCUAACUUCAGAUUUUCGAGGCGACCUGGAGGCAGUUGCGUCUCUGGCAAACUCUGGUCUAGAUGUGUAUGCGCACAACAUCGAAACUGUGAGGAGUAUGCAGAGAAUAGUUAGAGAUCCCCGAGCAGGAUAUGAUCAGAGCUUAGGGGUUCUGAAGCAAGCAAAGGCUUGCAAAAAGGGCAUGGUAACAAAGUCCUCGAUCAUGCUUGGUCUGGGUGAGACAGACGAGGAGAUAAAGCAAACCAUGGCUGACUUGAGGGCCAUCGACGUUGACAUUCUGACCUUGGGACAAUACUUACAGCCAACAGAAAGACAUUUGAGAGUCAGAGAGUAUGUGACUCCUGAGAAGUUUGAUUUCUGGAAGGAGUAUGGAGAAUCUUUAGGAUUUGUAUAUGUUGCUAGUGGACCUCUGGUCCGGUCCUCCUACCGUGCGGGGGAGAUAUUUGUCCAAAAUUUUGUCAGACAGAAAAAGGCCCAGCUUGUAUCUGCUGCAUCCUAG
rnacentral:rRNA from 1 species